CAUAUUUCUCCAGGUCCCUCAUAAGAUCGAUACAAGCAACAUGGAGAAAUGUUGGCCUGCUGGAAGUAGAAGUGCAGAGACUCCCUCCUGUGAGAGAAUAAGGCAUGGAGGAUUCGCAGAACUGUAUCCUCAGAGGUCUCAUAAUGAUACCAUCUUUUAUUCCUUUAACAGCCUCAUCAGUGCCCUGAAUGCGGUGACUUUCGUCAGGACAGCAUUCUCCAUUCUGGCUGUGGGUGACGGCCUGAGCCCCGGUGGAGUAUUCCUGCUGGCCUCAGACGGCCCUCCCAGGUAAAACCUGGGGCCAGCCUGUCCACAAUCUGAAAUGCCCUCCAGAUUAUUCCAAAUGUGCAUGUUAAUGACCAUCAGAUCUGAGAGCUGGUGGAGAAGUUAAGAUAAAUAGAGAAAAUCCUGACCGUGUUUGCUUUGGACCACA